UACGAAGGGGGCUAGCGUUGCUCGGAAUCACUGGGCGUAAAGCGCACGUAGGCGGACUCUUAAGUCAGGGGUGAAAUCCUGGAGCUCAACUCCAGAACUGCCUUUGAUACUGGGAGUCUUGAGUCCGGAAGAGGUAAGUGGAACUGCGAGUGUAGAGGUGAAAUUCGUAGAUAUUCGCAAGAACACCAGUGGCGAAGGCGGCUUACUGGUCCGGUACUGACGCUGAGGUGCGAAAGCGUGGGGAGCAAACCGG
rnacentral:rRNA from 1 species